rnacentral:rRNA from 1 species
GACGAACGCUGGCGGCGUGCUUAACACAUGCAAGUCGAACGGAAAGGCCCUGCUUGCAGGGUGCUCGAGUGGCGAACGGGUGAGUAACACGUGGGUGAUCUGCCCUUUACUUUGGGAUAAGCCUGGGAAGCUGGGUCUAAUACUGGAUAGGACCAUGCUGUAGGUGGUGUGGUGGAAAGAUUUGUUUAGGUAAGGGAUGAGCUCGCGGCCUAUCAGCUUGUUGGUGGGGUAAUGGCCUACCAAGGCGUCGACGGGUAGCCGGCCUGAGAGGGUGGGCGGCCACAUUGGGACUGAGAUGCGAGCCAGACUCCUGCGGGAGGCAACAGUGGGGGAUAUUGCACAAUGGGCGCAAGGCUGAUGCAGCGACGCCGCGUGGGGUGUGAAGGCCUUCUGGUUGGAAACACCUUUCAGCGAUGACUAAGCCCUUGUUGUGACGGUAGUGGUAGAAGAAGCACCGGCUAACUACGUG